rnacentral:rRNA from 1 species
UAAAGCGUGCGCAGGCGGCUUUGCAAGACAGAUGUGAAAUCCCCGGGCUCAACCUGGGAACUGCAUUUGUGACUGCAAGGCUAGAGUACGGCAGAGGGGGAUGGAAUUCCGCGUGUAGCAGUGAAAUGCGUAGAUAUGCGGAGGAACACCAAUGGCGAAGGCAAUCCCCUGGGCCUGUACUGACGCUCAUGCACGAAAGCGUGGGGAGCAAACAGGAUUAGUACCCCAGU